rnacentral:rRNA from 1 species
UCGGAUUGCAGCCUGCAACUCGGCUGCAUGAAGCUGGAAUCGCUAGUAAUCGCGGAUCAGAAUGCCGCGGUGAAUACGUUCCCGGGUCUUGUACACACCGCCCGUCACACCAUGGGAGUCGGAAAUGCCCGAAGUCAGUGACCCAACCGCAAGGAGGGAGCUGCCGAAGGUGGAGCCGGUAACUGGGGUGAAGUCGUAACAAGGUACC